UCGUGGGUGAGGUGGCGAGAUUACAGCCCCGCAAGGAGGAGCAAGAUUCCAACAUACCCUACGUGAACGAAUCAGGUUCUCAAAUAGAAACGUGAUGUCACCUGGGAUUUGUCCGGACCAUGUUAUACGUAAAUUGGUUUACGUCGGAAAUGUUAAAGCAUUGCAUACCACUCAUGAGUCUCCUCUAUAUAAAGAGACUUCAAUAGUAAAAUUUGUUUCU
rnacentral:lncRNA from 1 species